rnacentral:rRNA from 1 species
CCUUACACAUGCAAGUCGAACGGCAGCAUGAUCUAGCUUGCUAGAUUGAUGGCGAGUGGCGAACGGGUGAGUAAUACAUCGGAACGUGCCCUGUAGUGGGGGAUAACUAGUCGAAAGAUUAGCUAAUACCGCAUACGACCUGAGGGUGAAAGUGGGGGACCGCAAGGCCUCAUGCUAUAGGAGCGGCCGAUGUCUGAUUAGCUAGUUGGUGAGGUAAAGGCUCACCAAGGCGACGAUCAGUAGCUGGUCUGAGAGGACGAUCAGCCACACUGGGACUGAGACACGGCCCAGACUCCUACGGGAGGCAGCAGUGGGGAAUUUUGGACAAUGGGCGAAAGCCUGAUCCAGCAAUGCCGCGUGUGUGAAGAAGGCCUUCGGGUUGUAAAGCACUUUUGUCCGGAAAGAAAUGGCUCUGGUUAAUACCUGGGGUCGAUGACGGUACCGGAAGAAUAAGGACCGGCUAACUACGUGCCAGCAGCCGCGGUAAUACGUAGGGUCCAAGCGUUAAUCGGAAUUACUGGGCGUAAAGCGUGCGCAGGCGGUUGUGCAAGACCGAUGUGAAAUCCCCGAGCUUAACUUGGGAAUUGCAUUGGUGACUGCACGGCUAGAGUGUGUCAGAGGGGGGUAGAAUUCCACGUGUAGCAGUGAAAUGCGUAGAGAUGUGGAGGAAUACCGAUGGCGAAGGCAGCCCCCUGGGAUAACACUGACGCUCAUGCACGAAAGCGUGGGGAGCAAACAGGAUUAGAUACCCUGGUAGUCCACGCCCUAAACGAUGUCAACUAGUUGUUGGGGAUUCAUUUCCUUAGUAACGUAGCUAACGCGUGAAGUUGACCGCCUGGGGAGUACG